rnacentral:rRNA from 1 species
GACGAACGCUGGCGGCGUGCUCAACACAUGCAAGUCGAACGGAAAGGCCCUGCUUUUGUGGGGUGCUCGAGUGGCGAACGGGUGAGUAACACGUGAGUAACCUGCCCUUGACUUUGGGAUAACUUCAGGAAACUGGGCUAAUACCGGAUAGGAGCUCCUGCUGCCUGGUGGGGGUUGGAAAGUUUCGGCGGUUGGGGAUGGACUCGCGGCUUAUCAGCUUGUUGGUGGGGUAGUGGCUUACCAAGGCUUUGACGGGUAGCCGGCCUGAGAGGGUGACCGGCCACAUUGGGACUGAGAUACGGCCCAGACUCCUACGGGAGGCAGCAGUGGGGAAUAUUGCACAAUGGGCGGAAGCCUGAUGCAGCAACGCCGCGUGCGGGAUGACGGCCUUCGGGUUGUAAACCGCUUUCGCCUGUGACGAAGCGUGAGUGACGGUAAUGGGUAAAGAAGCACCGGCUAACUACGUG